UGAUGAUUGUUUCUUUUUAUUUUUUCUUGUAAAAAUUAUUUGAUUAAACUCUCUCACCGAUGAUUACAAAGUCCUAAUUUUUUCUAUUAAAAUUGUUUUCUACUUUUUAUUUUUCCAAAAUCACAUGAUGAUCAUCUGAUGGUUUAUUUUUCUAUUUCAUUAUUCUUUUAUUUUUUCUUAUAGUUUUUUAGAUUAUCUACUAAUAU
rnacentral:lncRNA from 1 species